rnacentral:rRNA from 1 species
CCUACGGGAGGCAGCAGUGGGGAAUUUUGGACAAUGGGCGCAAGCCUGAUCCAGCAAUGCCGCGUGAGUGAAGAAGGCCUUCGGGUUGUAAAGCUCUUUUGUCAGGGAAGAAACGGUGUUUUCUAAUACAGAAUGCUAAUGACGGUACCUGAAGAAUAAGCACCGGCUAACUACGUGCCAGCAGCCGCGGUAAUACGUAGGGUGCAAGCGUUAAUCGGAAUUACUGGGCGUAAAGCGUGCGCAGGCGGUUUUGUAAGUCUGUCGUGAAAUCCCCGGGCUCAACCUGGGAAUGGCGAUGGAGACUGCAAGGCUAGAAUCUGGCAGAGGGGGGUAGAAUUCCACGUGUAGCAGUGAAAUGCGUAGAUAUAUGGAGGAACACCGAUGGCGAAGGCAGCCCCCUGGGCUAAGAUUGACGCUCAUGCACGAAAGCGUGGGGAGCAAACAGGAUUAGAUACCCUGGUAGUCCACGCCCUAAACGAUGUCUACUAGUUGUCGGGUCUUAAUUGACUUGGUAACGCAGCUAACGCGUGAAGUAGACCGCCUGGGGAGUACGGUCGCGAAGAUUAAAAACUCAAAAUGAAAUUGACGG